GCCAUCAGACCCGAAAGGUGAUAAUGCGUUGAAUAGAUCGUCAUUGAUCGCGUCCGAGAUUGCUUGAAAAAAUCAACAAAUUUCCAUCACUGGCACAC
rnacentral:snoRNA from 1 species